GUGUCAUCCCAGGAGCCUCCUGAGUGGAUUUCCCCAAUGCUGGUGUGGUGCUGGAGCCUGAGCAGUGAUCCUGUGUUAUGUAACACAAAACUACAAGUGUCAGCAAGAGGACUGCAAGAAUGAAUCCUGUUCCCUGAAAUGCAGCUGGGGAACGAGGGCAGCUCAGGCCACCCCAGGCCUCAGGAGAUUGAUAGUGUUGGCAGCUGAGGAUCUAAUUAUGGAUUAUUUGGGUCGGACUCUUUUAUCCCAGUGUGCUGUAAAUCUGAUGAUGGGCCCUUUAAUUCCUGCUUGUUCUGUCAGGAUGAAGAACGGCGCUAAAUCCAGCAGACCUCGUUUCGGCAAAACUCCCACUGAAGUCAGGCUUCGUGAAAUUCAGAUGGUAAAUGGCUGCUCCCUCAAAACAGUGGAUGUGCUGCUUUGGAUGCCUGGAACUAUUUAAUCUCUCAGGUCCAUGUGGAUCUUGCUGUAGCUCCAAGGACAGCUGAAAUCAACAUCACUAAAUCCCCCAAAGCUGCAGAAUAUUACAGUAGUUUUAUAGCUGGGAUGCCUCCUCAUCCAGUUCUGGAUAGGGAUAAGGACAAGUCUUUGGAAACAAAGUGAGCUGCAGCUCAUGUGACUGCUCGGAUUGGUGCUCCAGCUGGGACAAAUUUGGUAAGUGCUCAUGCCCCAAAUUUACCUUUUUUUUUUUUUUUUUUUUUUAAUUUGGGCUUUCCCAAUAGAAAUGCAAGUAUUUUGCCAUUUGGAAUAUUUAAUCUUAUUAACCAGCCACGCUAUUAAUAAUAACAAAGUAAAAAACCGAAAAGUUAGCUUUUUGUUGCAAGAUAGGAAGAUAAAACUGUGAAAUUCUAAGAGUUUUGAAUGCUCCUACCAAAUCCUGAACUAAGUGGAAAAGCCAGUGAACAGAAUCCAUUAAAGCUGCAUUUAUUAAAUGUCCACUUGUAUGAAAAGCUAAAAAUAGUGUUUGAGUUUUUCCAAUUUUCCUUUGAUAACAGUUAUU